rnacentral:tRNA from 1 species
CUAAACUUUAAGCGUUUACCAUGACCCUAGGUCUUUCAUAUCUUUUCGGUGUU